GAGCUUGGCGGUGUUUUAGACCUCUCAGGGGAACCUGUCUCAUAAUCGACAAUCCACGUUAAACCUAACCUUUGAUAGCAAUUCAGCCUGUAUACCGUUGUCGUCAGGUAACUUCUUAAAAUAUAGUAGUUAGCUUGAAAAUUUUAUUAAUUAAAACGUCAAAUCAAGGUGCAGCUAAUAAAAAGGUGAAGAUGGGUUACAAUUACAUAUUUGUAAAUACGGAUAAACAUUUGAAAGAAUGUUUUAAAGGAGGACUUGAAAGUAAUUUUAAUUAUAUAAACAAAAUGAAUGAGGCUCUGAAACGUGCACACAUCGCCCGUCGCUCUCGUUGAAAAAUGAGAUAAGUCGUAACAUAGUAGGGGUAAUGGAAAUUGUUCCUAGGC
rnacentral:rRNA from 5 species